rnacentral:rRNA from 1 species
GCGGCGGACGGGUGAGUAAUGUCUGGGAAACUGCCUGAUGGAGGGGGAUAACUACUGGAAACGGUAGCUAAUACCGCAUAACGUCUCAAGACCAAAGAGGGGGACCUUCGGGCCUCUUGCCAUCUGAUGUGCCCAGAUGGGAUUAGCUAGUAGGUGGGGUAACGGCUCACCUAGGCGACGAUCCCUAGCUGGUCUGAGAGGAUGACCAGCCACACUGGAACUGAGACACGGUCCAGACUCCUACGGGAGGCAGCAGUGGGGAAUAUUGCACAAUGGGCGCAAGCCUGAUGCAGCCAUGCCGCGUGUAUGAAGAAGGCCUACGGGUUGUAAAGUACUUUCAGCGGGGAGGAAGGUGUUGAGGUUAAUAACCUUUCGAUUGACGUUACCCGCAGAAGAAGCACCGGCUAACUCCGUGCCAGCAGCCGCGGUAAUACGGAGGGUGCAAGC